AUCUGCCUCCCGAUCCCAUCCGGAUCUCCAAGCUCCAGCGCGCCGCCACCUCCUGCCGACCGCCGCCCUCCCCGGCACAGCGCGCCGCCACCUCCUGCCGACCGCUGCCCUCCCCGGCACCGCGCGCCGCCACGAGCGCCGGCAGCGCCUCCUAUUGUUGUGACGGAAAACAUUGGGAUCUAACAUAAGUACCCGCGCAGGCAUUGCAUUGGUUGAAUCUACUUCCAACUGAAAAUGGUCACCGGCAAGCAGGUGGAUUCACAACUUGGUGGAUGGAAUUUCAAGGCACACUGUUCAGAUUUGGUGUAGGGCAUGAACAGAGCCUUGAUUGCUCGAAUGGGCUGGGACCAGAUUGUUGUUUUACUGGUCAGUUAAUUCAUCGCAAACUAGAGGUACAGGUGAUCUGAUGUCAGAUUGUUCACACAACGAUGUCCUUGCCACUUCUGUAGGUAUCAAACUACUCCCAGGAGAGGUUCUAUGCCAUCUUGAGCAAAUAAUUGAGAAAAACCCACUAAGGAUACAGGGAGAUGAACGAUGUGGAUACGAAGAAGCACUGAGAUCUGCUUUUCAGCAUUAGAUGGUUCGGGAGAAUAGAUGACACGCGAGGUCCAACGGCGAGUAAGCAAUCCCGUUGAUGGGAUUCCCAUGGAGGAUGUUGCCUUGCUGGCGGUUGUUGUGCUCAUGUGGUCCUCUCAUGUUGCAGCAGCCAACUGCGAUGAUUCACUGAUCUUGCUCGCCCAUGGUAAGGAGCCUGUGGCACUCAGGUCUCAACUAAUCACAAGGUAAAUAAGGUUUUUGCAAGUUCGAUUCAGUUGGGUGGAGAAUUGAUUACUUAACAGAAAACAUUAGCAUUUGUGAGUCGUGAGAUGCAAAAUAAAUAUUCGUAUGUUAUUUUGAUUUUUUUAGGUAUUGAAAAUUUGCACUUUUUUGAAUUCACUUAGAAUUACUAUCAUCUAGCGGUAAUACGUGACAUGUAUUAUUUUGGUGCAAGUCAUGCAGAAGCAUUCCUUGACAGCUGCAUGAUCAAGAAUAUCAAACAGACAGCGUCACUGCACUUUUUUGGUGUAAAUUCUUGACAUAUAGUUUUAUGUGCUCCAUGCAAGUUAAGAGACUCUCAAGAGGUACAAUUUAGUAUUGUAACAUAGUAUACAAACUCCUUUUAGGUUCUUUGAACUUUACAACAAAGGCAUGGUAUAUUACGAUGUAAGCAGAGCAGUACUUAAGUUGAAAAUUUUAGAACUUGACGGCUAGCAUUAUAUAUGGUUAGCAAUCCAAUAUACAAUAUCCCUUUUCGUAUCACCAAAGCUCAAGAGAAAAUAUUUCGAAUAUUGUCCUAACAUUCUUGCGAAUCUGCACCUGAAAGUUAUAAUUUCUCUUGCAGCAAACAAUACAGAGAAACAAGAGCCCAAACAUUUUUGCGAACCAGAAAUUAUCUUUGUCUAUUUCUGAAUUUCUAAUAUUUAUCUUUGAGUUCACGUGCAAUGCAACAUUUAUUUAUAAGUUCUGAACUUGAAUUGUGUCCAUACAGUUGCAUACUUGCAUAUACUGUAGUGAACCACACACAUGACUAGGAGAGGAGGGGAAGAAGAGGAUGCAUCCUGAAGAGGUCGAGAAGCUUGCGGAGGCGGGAAGAUCAGGCACAUGUAUCAUUGUACAGGAUUGUAGAGAUUUUAAAAUUAAUUAUUUGAUGGAUUGGCUUUGAUAGCCAAACUGAAUGGCUCCGCAGACUAGCGGGUGCACUAAAUUGGUGCACUGGAUGCUAAUUUCCAAGGCAACACCAAUAUGAGCAUAAGGACCAUCAAAUGUAUCACGUAUGAUUUGUUCAAGGAAUACUAGACUAUCCUCCCCGCAGAAAGGACUGUUAGAGGUUUCAUGUUGCAUUGCUUCUAGACGGCAAGUCGGACCAAUUGUUGAGAUUUAUGUGAAUAACCAUUCUGGUAAGAAGUUCGCGCAGAGUGUUUCAGAUGGUUGCAUGGGCCAUUCUUGUUUUUUUUGGAGUUUUCUUGACUCUAUGCCUUGCAAACAUAGUGGGGGUUCAACAAAGGCAUGCAUACUUACAUUUUGGAGCAGUGAGCUAAGUCAGAUCAGCUUGGAUUUUCAGUCAGAAAGUUUUUCCCCUAUAUCUGCAACCACAUAAUACAAUCAUCUACUAUUUUUUUUCAACCCUCAUUUAAGCAUAUCGCAUUCCCCUUCCCUUUUAUUUAUUUACUUUUAAGAGCUCUGCUUUAGCGUUCUAUGUCAUAUUGGUAUCAUCUCUAUAUAACUUUUUUUUAUGGAAACAGAAGUUGUGUGUG
rnacentral:rRNA from 1 species